rnacentral:pre_miRNA from 1 species
GUGACAACGAGAGAGAGCACGCUGGAAUGCACUCUUGUAAGAAGCAUGGGUAUGUUCUUGUGUGCCCUCUCCCGCUGUCGC